GUACGGCGAGUGAAGCGGCAACAGCUCAAAUUUGAAAGCUAGCCUUCGGGUUCGCAUUGUAAUUUGUAGAGGAUGAUUUGGGGAAGCCGCCUGUCUAAGUUCCUUGGAACAGGACGUCAUAGAGGGUGAGAAUCCCGUAUGUGACAGGAAAUGGCACCCUAUGUAAAUCUCCUUCGACGAGUCGAGUUGUUUGGGAAUGCAGCUCUAAAUGGGAGGUAAAUUUCUUCUAAAGCUAAAUAUUGGCGAGAGACCGAUAGCGCACAAGUAGAGUGAUCGAAAGAUGAAAAGCACUUUGGAAAGAGAGUUAAAAAGCACGUGAAAUUGUUGAAAGGGAAGCGCUUGCAAUCAGACUUGUUUAAACUGUUCGGCCGGUCUUCUGACCGGUUUACUCAGUUUGGACAGGCCAGCAUCAGUUUCGGCGGCCGGAUAAAGGCUCUGGGAAUGUGGCCUCCACUUCGGUGGAGGUGUUAUAGCCCAGGGUGUAAUACGGCCAGCCGGGACUGAGGUCCGCGCUUCGGCUAGGAUGCUGGCGUAAUGGUUGUAAGCGACCCGUCUUGAAACACGGGACCAAAA
rnacentral:rRNA from 1 species